ACACGCAUGACACACUGCAUAUCAAUAAGCGGAGGAAAAGAAACUAACUAGGAUUCCCUCAGUAACGGCGAGUGAAGCGGGAAGAGCUCAAAUUUGAAGUCUUCAAGGUUCUACCUUGACGAAUUGUAGUUUAAAGAAGUGUUUUCUGUUGGAGUCUUGGUAAAAGUUCUUUGGAAUAGGACAUCAUAGAGGGUGAGAAUCCCGUAUUUGACCAUUAUUUCCAGCUGUGUGAUACACUUUCAAAGAGUCGGAUUGUUUGGGAAUGCAGUCCAAAAUGGGUGGUAAAUUUCAUCUAAAGCUAAAUAUUGGCGAGAGACCGAUAGCGAACAAGUACCGUGAGGGAAAGAUGAAAAGAACUUUGAAAGAGAGUUAAACAGUACGUGAAAUUGUCAAAAGGGAAGCGUUUGACACCAGUGUUGUUUUCUCGAAAAUCAAUUAAAAAUGGCCGGAUUUUGUGUUGUAUUGACUUUAUCAGCUUUCUGCACUUUUUUUCCUAUCUUUUUUAAUGCACUUUUCAGUUAACAAGUCAACAUCAAUUUCUUUUGUUGUAAAAGAGUCAUUGGAAGGUGGCUUUCUUUUCGGAGAAAGUGUUUAUAGCCUUUGGCUUCUGCAAUCGGAGAGAUUGAGGUCUGCAGCGUAGAUCCUUCGGGGUUAGAUGUAUUUGUGCUAAGUUAUAGCCUUUCAUAGACAACUUGUUGACUAUGAUCAGUCAUGUAGCUUACUCGCUUAUGUCAUUUUACCUACGCUUAGGAUGUUGAUCUGUAGUGCGUGCGC
rnacentral:rRNA from 1 species